GUUGUAUUGAUGUAUAGCAACUUGAAAUGCUCCCAAAAAUGGCUCCACAGCAUGUAAAAAUAUAAUAUAAGCUCUGGCGGACUUGGUUCUAUGGUAGGUCUUAAAGGGUUAAAUAAAUAUUCACUCUGCUUUGAGCUCUGGUCUAAAGAAGAUGCUUCUUAAGCCCGAUUUUUUUUAUCAAUUCUAUCCUGAUAGUCUGUGUCUGCUGUAUGUGGAUAUGUAUUAGAGCGUUUCUUUUUAAAAAACCAUUGAAUAGAGCUGGCGUUUUUCUUAGUAAUUUUGUAAAUGUGACUGCUUCCAAGAUAGAGAUAAAAACGAUUUAGAUAUCCAGUGGCCAUCACCAUCCACCUCUCUGUUCUUUUUUUUUUUUGCAUUUAUCAAGUUUACCAGCGUAAGUUGGAGCUUUGAACCAGGAACCUUCUCGGUGUGAUGUGACAGUAGUAACACUGGUCUUUGAAGUGAACGAUGCGAGUCAACUCCUUAUUGGGAGCCGUGGGUUUUUUUUUUCUUUCUCUCACCCUCUCUCUCGCACUUUUUUUCCCGCUUCACUCCGCAUGCGAGCCUUGUGCUUUGCGCUGGGAAGAGGGGGGAGCGGCGGUAGUUACACUGGCAGUAGCACAGGAACAGAGCAGGAGGGGGAGACAGAGAAAGAGAGCCAGGGACAAUAACAUCACAUUAGAAAGGUAUAGUAAUCAUCCACAACUAUUUUCAGUUGCGGAUGAUAAAGGAUUCAGAAAGUUUAUUCAUGCAGGCCCACAUGACAGAGAAUGUUCUGUAUUUGUAUAGCACUUUUACUAGUCCCCCCUAGGGACCCCAAAGCGCUUUACACACCCAGUCAUCCACCCAUUCACACACUGGUGGAGGCAAGCUACAGUUGUAGCCACAGCUGCCCUGGGGCAGCUGUCUGCCCCGGGGCAGACUGACAGAAGCGAGGCUGCCAUAUCACACCAUCGGCCCUUCUGUCCAACACCAGUGGUGAAGUGUCUUGCCCAAGGACACAACAACCGAGACUGUCCGAGC
ensembl:lncRNA